UACGGAAGGCAGCAGUGGGGAAUAUUGCACAAUGGGCGCAAGCCUGAUGCAGCCAUGCCGCGUGUAUGAAGAAGGCCUUCGGGUUGUAAAGUACUUUCAGUCGUGAGGAAGGUGUUAAGGUUAAUAACCUUAGCAAUUGACGUUAGCGACAGAAGAAGCACCGGCUAACUCCGUGCCAGCAGCCGCGGUAAUACGGAGGGUGCGAGCGUUAAUCGGAAUUACUGGGCGUAAAGGGCACGCAGGCGGUUAAUUAAGUUGGAUGUGAAAUCCCCGGGCUUAACCUGGGAAUGGCAUUCAAGACUGGUUAGCUAGAGUCUUGUAGAGGGGGUAGAAUUCCAUGUGUAGCGGUGAAAUGCGUAGAGAUGUGGAGGAAUACCGGUGGCGAAGGCGGCCCCUGGACAAAGGCCUGGACGCUCAUGUGCGAAAGCGUGGGGAGCAAACAGGGAUUUAGAUACC
rnacentral:rRNA from 1 species